GACGAACGCUGGCGGCGUGCUUAACACAUGCAAGUCGAACGGAAAGGCCCUGCUUUUGUGGGGUGCUCGAGUGGCGAACGGGUGAGUAACACGUGAGUAACCUGCCCUUGACUUUGGGAUAACUUCAGGAAACUGGGGCUAAUACCGGAUAGGAGCUCCUGCUGCAUGGUGGGGGUUGGAAAGUUUCGGCGGGUGGGGAUGGACUCGCGGCUUAUCAGCUUGUUGGUGGGGUAGUGGCUUACCAAGGCUUUGACUGGUAGCCGGCCCGAGAGGGUGACCGGCCACAAUGGGACUGAGAGACGGCCCAGACUGCUACGGGAGGCAGCAGUGGGGAAUAUUGCACAAUGGGGCGAAGCCUGAGACAGCAACGCCGCGUUCGGGAUGACGGCCUGCGGGUUGUAAACCGCUUUCGCCUGUGACGAAGCGUGAGUGACGGUAAUGGGUAAAGAAGCACCGGCUAACUACGUG
rnacentral:rRNA from 1 species